rnacentral:rRNA from 1 species
CUUUUUCUUCGAUUAGAACUCUAAGAAAAAAUUACGCUGUUAUCCCUAAGGUAAUUUUUCUUUUAAUCUUAAAAAAAGGAUCAAAUUAAUCACUUAUCUAUGAAUUCCCAAUAAAAAAAAGUUAAUUAAAUUUUUCAAUCACCCCAAUUAAAUACUUCUUAAAAAAAUUUUCUUUAUAAAUAAAAAUAACUAUCAUAAAAUUACAAUAAUUAAUUUAUUUAUUCUUCUAUACUCUAACUUUUAAAAUAAAAAAUAUUAAACUCUAUAGGGUCUUCUCGUCUUUUAUAAAAAUUUAAGCUUUUUAACUUAAAAAUAAAAUUCAAAAUAUUUAAAUUGAGACAGUUAUUUUUUCAUCAAACCUUUCAUUCCAGCUUUCAAUUAAAAAACUAAUGAUUAUGCUACCUUAGCACAGUCAAAAUACUGCGGCCGUUAAA